rnacentral:rRNA from 1 species
GAGUUUGAUCCUGGCUCAGGACGAACGCCGGCGGCGCGCCUAACACAUGCAAGUCGAACGAGCGAGAGAGAGCUUGCUUUCUCGAGCGAGUGGCGAACGGGUGAGUAACGCGUGAGAGACCUGCCUCAAAGAGGGGGACAACAGUUGGAAACGACUGCUAAUACCGCAUAAGCCCACAGCUCGGCAUCGAGCAGAGGGAAAAGGAGCAAUCCGCUUUGAGAUGGCCUCGCGUCCGAUUAGCUGGUUGGUGAGGUAACGGCCCACCAAGGCGACGAUCGGUAGCCGGACUGAGAGGUUGAACGGCCACAUUGGGACUGAGACACGGCCCAGACUCCUACGGGAGGCAGCAGUGGGGAAUAUUGCACAAUGGGGGAAACCCUGAUGCAGCGACGCCGCGUGGAGGAAGAAGGUCUUCGGAUUGUAAACUCCUGUUGUUGAGGAAGAUAAUGACGGUACUCAACAAGGAAGUGACGGCUAACUACGUGCCAGCAGCCGCGGUAAAACGUAGGUCACAAGCGUUGUCCGGAAUUACUGGGUGUAAAGGGAGCGCAGGCGGGAAGACAAGUUGGAAGUGAAAUCUAUGGGCUCAACCCAUAAACUGCUUUCAAAACUGUUUUUCUUGAGUAGUGCAGAGGUAGGCGGAAUUCCCGGUGUAGCGGUGGAAUGCGUAGAUAUCGGGAGGAACACCAGUGGCGAAGGCGGCCUACUGGGCACCAACUGACGCUGAGGCUCGAAAGUGUGGGUAGCAAACAGGAUUAGAUACCCUGGUAGUCCACACCGUAAACGAUGAUUACUAGGUGUUGGAGGAUUGACCCCUUCAGUGCCGCAGUUAACACAAUAAGUAAUCCACCUGGGGAGUACGACCGCAAGGUUGAAACUCAAAGGAAUUGACGGGGGCCCGCACAAGCAGUGGAGUAUGUGGUUUAAUUCGACGCAACGCGAAGAACCUUACCAAGUCUUGACAUCCUGCGACGGACAUAGAAAUAUGUCUUUCCUUCGGGACGCAGAGACAGGUGGUGCAUGGUUGUCGUCAGCUCGUGUCGUGAGAUGUUGGGUUAAGUCCCGCAACGAGCGCAACCCUUACUGUCAGUUACUACGCAAGAGGACUCUGGCAGGACUGCCGUUGACAAAACGGAGGAAGGUGGGGAUGACGUCAAAUCAUCAUGCCCUUUAUGACUUGGGCUACACACGUACUACAAUGGCGUUAAACAAAGAGAAGCAAGACCGCGAGGUGGAGCAAAACUCAGAAACAACGUCCCAGUUCGGACUGCAGGCUGCAACUCGCCUGCACGAAGUCGGAAUUGCUAGUAAUCGUGGAUCAGCAUGCCACGGUGAAUACGUUCCCGGGCCUUGUACACACCGCCCGUC